GAGAAAGCCAGUUGUGAAUGUGUGUGUGUGUGCGUGUGUGUCCAUACCAGUUUAAAGAGCCUUCUCGACCACUGCAAAGAGUUCAGAGAGGGAGAAGGCCAGGGGCAGCCUUGGUAGAGGGAAGCCCUUCGUUUCUCUCAACCUACGGGGCCUAUAAGGACGUGGGGCCCUCCUGUGACAGUGAUGCCUGAAAUGGCAGAUAAGCCCCUCGGUUGGAAUAACUGCAAAUUGAGAAAGAGGAGGAAGAGAAGAGAAGAGACGACUAGAAUCCUAAAGAAACACAAUAAAGUAAAAAAUAAAGCCGCGUGAUGACGAGGUUUGGUUUUCUUCAUGAGCCAAUGUUCAACGUAAGUACAAACCAUUACCCCAACAUCACAGUGUUUUAGUUUAUCGCUGGCACCGCAAUAGUAUUUUCUGUUUCUCCGCAGGUAUAGACGCCACAGUAUUGUGCAUUAAAUAGGGGUCUGGCUAGAAAUCAUUGACACUACUAUUUAUGCAAACAACUGACGGUGAAGUUUCAAUCAGUUAACACAGGCGACAUUAAAUUUUGAGGCACAGCUAAGGACGGGCAUGGCCUUUACUUAGUGAAGCAGACCCUCCCUCCCUGUCGCCUCUUCUCUCCUCUUCCUUCUCUUUCUCAAUUUGCAGUGUCUUUGUGUUUAAAGGCCUCAGGUUUAUAGGAGAGAAAGUCUCUUGCUCCACAAACAUACCUUGAAAUUGGAUUCUUGCUGAGAAAUGGACCUUGUUUCACAAAUGAUAUUUGGAUCCAAUGGGCAGGAUGUGUUUAAGUAUUUUGUUUCAAAAUUUUGAUUGAAAAUGAAAGAUUCUCUAUAAAAUAAUACAUUUUCUAGGCACCGCUAAACACCUGGAUUCUGAACAGAUUGAAUCCAUGCUUUAGGUUAAAAAAAUUAGUUUUGUGCUUUUCUGUCAAAAAUAUGAAAGAAGUUCAGUAAAUGGGUUACACAUAAGCAGGUCUGUGUCUGGGGACCGACCAGACGGUCUCUGGAACAUUCGUUAGUGAGACAGACGACGGAAAUGCAAAAGAUGAAUAGAAGACUUCCUGAAUUAUUCAGAACUACCACAGUAGAGUAUUCAAAAGACGAGGUUUUUAGGCAUUUCUUGAUAUUUCUGAAGAACUCUUAUGGCAACUUCAAAGGGCCUCUGACCAAGCCAUUCCAUCGCUGAACAUUUUUCUAAGGAAAUAUUUAUAAACGGUGCAAGUACACAAAGUUAGAAUGCACAUCACAAUAUGUCUUCACAGCAAAAAAUUGAAAGCACUUUAAAUAUUCAAAAGUGGAGUUCCCGUCGUGGCGCAGUGGUUAACGGGAAUCCGACUAGGAACCCAGGGUUCGAUCCCUGGCCUUGCUCAGCGGGUUAAGGACCCGCCGUGGCUGUGAGCUGUGGUGCAGGUCGCGGACGCAGCUCGGAUCCCGCGUUGCUGUGGCUGUGGUGUAGGCCGGUGGCUACGGCUCCCAUUAGACCCCUAGCCUGGGAACCUCCAUAUGCCGUGGGGGUGGCCCUAGAAAAGGCGAAAAGAAAAAAUAAAUAAAUAUUCAAAAGUAAGGGACUGCUGCAUAAAUUACGAUAACGCAAUAGAAGACUAUCCAAGCAUAAACCAUCGUGUAACUCCAUACCAAUUUAUGUGGAAUUACAUUUUUGAUAUGUUAAUAGUUUUAAAAACUGUGCCGCAGAACAGUAGAGCAUAAUCAAACUAGGUUUGAAAACUCAUGUGCAGGCCGCCCUCUGUAUGCGCAUAUGAGGGAAAAAACCUGAGAAAAAAAUCCCAAGAAAAUGAAUGUAAGAAAAAAUCCUUCCAGGGCUCUUCUCUGAGUCAUUACUGAGUAAUAUUUGACAGGUCGCUUACACGUUACCUUUUGCUUUUUACAAAGAGAUUAAACGCCACCAUUCCCUUUAUAUAUCCUUAGAUGUAAGGGUCAACCCACCUAAAGCGAUGGCCACUGGUGGGAAAAGCAUGGCCAGUAGGGUUCUACCAUCAUAACUGGUAAGAUACAACUUUGUACCCACUCUAAUUAUACAGAAAAAUACAUUAUUUUUAGCAUAGUUUUUUUUUUUUUUUUCAUUUCAUUUAUAUAUUUAUUUAUUUAUUUUGUCUUUUUGCUAUUUCUUUGGGCCACUCCUGCGGCAUAUGGAGGUUCCCAGGCUAGGGGUCGAAU
rnacentral:lncRNA from 1 species